CCUACGGGAGGCAGCAGUGGGGAAUUUUGGACAAUGGGCGAAAGCCUGAUCCAGCAAUGCCGCGUGAGUGAAGAAGGCCUUCGGGUUGUAAAGCUCUUUUGUCAGGGAAGAAACGGUGAGAGCUAAUAUCUUUUGCUAAUGACGGUACCUGAAGAAUAAGCACCGGCUAACUACGUGCCAGCAGCCGCGGUAAUACGUAGGGUGCAAGCGUUAAUCGGAAUUACUGGGCGUAAAGCGUGCGCAGGCGGUUUUGUAAGUCUGUCGUGAAAUCCCCGGGCUCAACCUGGGAAUUGCGAUGGAGACUGCAAGGCUAGAAUCUGGCAGAGGGGGGUAGAAUUCCACGUGUAGCAGUGAAAUGCGUAGAGAUGUGGAGGAACACCGAUGGCGAAGGCAGCCCCCUGGGUCAAGAUUGACGCUCAUGCACGAAAGCGUGGGGAGCAAACAGGAUUAGAUACCCUGGUAGUCCACGCCCUAAACGAUGUCUACUAGUUGUCGGGUUUUAAUUAACUUGGUAACGCAGCUAACGCGUGAAGUAGACCGCCUGGGGAGUACGGUCGCAAAGAUUAAAACUUCAAAGGAAAUUGACGGCNGNGAGNGCGACGACGACACGAGGAGGAGG
rnacentral:rRNA from 1 species